AUUGAACGCUGGCGGCAGGCUUAACACAUGCAAGUCGAGCGGGGAAAGGUAGCUUGCUACCUGACCUAGCGGCGGACGGGUGAGUAAUGCUUAGGAAUCUGCCUAUUAGUGGGGGACAACAUCUCGAAAGGUAUGCUAAUACCGCAUACGUCCUACGGGAGAAAGCAGGGGACCUUCGGGCCUUGCGCUAAUAGAUGAGCCUAAGUCGGAUUAGCUAGUUGGUGGGGUAAAGGCCUACCAAGGCUACGAUCUGUAGCGGGUCUGAGAGGAUGAUCCGACACACUGGGACUGAGACACGGCCCAGACUCCUACGGGAAGCAGCAGUGGGGAAUAUUGGACAAUGGGGGGAACCCUGAUCCAGCCAUGCCGCGUGUGUGAAGAAGGCCUUUUGGUUGUAAAGCACUUUAAGCGAGGAGGAGGCUACCGAGAUUAAUACUAUUGGAUAGUGGACGUUACUCGCAGAAUAAGCACCGGCUAACUCUGUGCCAGCAGCCGCAGUAACAC
rnacentral:rRNA from 1 species